rnacentral:rRNA from 1 species
AUUGAACGCUGGCGGCAUGCCUUACACAUGCAAGUCGAACGGCAGCACGGGUGCUUGCACCUGGUGGCGAGUGGCGAACGGGUGAGUAAUAUAUCGGAACGUACCUUAUUGUGGGGGAUAACGCAGCGAAAGCUGUGCUAAUACCGCAUAAUCCCUAAGGGGGAAAGCGGGGGACCGUAAGGCCUCGCGCAAUUAGAGCGGCCGAUACCUGAUUAGCUAGUUGGUGAGGUAAAGGCUCACCAAGGCAACGAUCAGUAGCUGGUCUGAGAGGACGAUCAGCCACACUGGGACUGGAACACGGCCCAGACUCCUACGGGAGGCAGCAGUGGGGAAUAUUGGACAAUGGGCGAAAGCCUGAUCCAGCAAUGCCGCGUGAGUGAUGAAGGCCUUCGGGUUGUAAAGCUCUGUCGGAAGGAAAGAAAAAGCCAGCUAAUCACUGGUAUUGACGGUACCUUCAAAGGAAGCACCGGCUAACUCUGUGCCAGCCGCCGCGGUAA